rnacentral:lncRNA from 1 species
CAAAUAAAUCAACAAAUUCUAAGUUGGGAGUUGACGGAACUAUGAGAUUAAGAAUGAGAAAGAAUAAAGAAAAUAAAAUGAUUCAAAAAAAAAUUUGAAUUCUCUUGGAGGUUGGGAAGGAUAGGUGAAUGUUGGUCAGGCAGUAUUUUCAGAUACUGGGGCCAGUCGUGGUGAGAUGAGACCUAGGGUGAUUACGAUGAGCUGAGUCCCAUAUCGUGCCCCUCAAUGAACAUAGUAAAGCUGAAAAACAAACCAUGUUAGGCUGCAGUCACUGAGAUUUGGGAGUUACUUGUUACCGUAACUUAACCUCCUGAAUGAUGCAAAAAGGAAGCCUCAGUUACUUCUUCAGAUACAUCUUGUGGGGAAAAAUAUCAGGGGAUCUACCCAUAAGUUGAGAUCCUUCAAAAUUCAGAAUGGAAUUUUCAUAUUUAAUUUUAAAUUCGCUUUCACAAGAAAUUAUCGUUAUCAUCUUAUUAAAAGUUCUACAGUGAAAUACUUCUUAAAUAUAUUUAAAUGAAGCGGAAGUUGGUAGUGCUAGAAUUAACAUAGGAACUGCUUGUUGAUGUAAGUGAUUCUAUUUAUAAUGUUAAGAAAGAUUGGCUUAAAUAUUCCAUUUUAACUGCAAUGUAAGUCGAAGUCCUGAAAGUUAAAAUUACAUGCUUUGAAUGAAUUUACCUAUGAAUUAAAUCUACUACUCAUAGGAAGUGUUUCAGCAAUUUAUCAAAAAUCACAUGAAUAUUCAUUAUAAAUUGACUUCCGCUGAAAACCUUAAUUGUGCCAACACUUUUAUGAUGAUAUGAUUGUGAUGAAGGACCAACAUAGCAUCAUUUUAUUUGUCACCAGAGAAAACCUAUGUUUGUCUCAUCAAAAAGUUCCAAGGCAAAAAUAAUUUUUGGAAAGUUUAUAUAAAAGGAAAGAUUAUGAUAGCUGAGUUGCAAUAAAGCAUUUUGCAAAAAUAGCAUCUUCCUUGGUUAAAUCCUUAUAAAAAUCAUGUUUUGGUGAUUUGAUUUUUAAAUAACUAUGCUGUGUUUUAAAACUAACAUUUAGUAUAUCACUAAUAUAGUAUAUUAAUGUAUAAUAGACUAUUAUAAUAUACUGUAUUGUAUUAAUAUGGUGUAUUAAUGUGUAAUAUACCAUAUUGAUACAAUAUAUUGACUUUGUUAUAAUUAACAUUAUAAUGUUAUAUUAAUGCUAUCUUCAUAAAUAAUAGCAUUAUAUUGGAACUUAGAAGUAAUGUAAUUCUCUAAAUAAAGAACUUUAUUUGCAAGGCUUGCCUUUCAUUUUCUGACUCCGUGACCUUGAGAAGUUGACUUCUUUUUCUUCUUUAAACCUUUGUCAAAGGGAUAACUUAGUGUUAUAAAUUAAAGCAAAUUUUACCUAGGUGUGCAAAUAGCAUUUGCUUAAAAAAAGAAAGAGAAGAACCAGUUACACUAGGUGUUACGUUAGUCCAGAGAAGUAGAGUUAGGAUAUGAUCGUGAUGCAGAACCAACAUAGCAUCGUCUUAUUUGUCACCAGAGAAAACAAACGAACGAGUGCGUUUACAAGUGAUAGAGAACUCGGUGAAGAAAUCACUGUAAAGUGAGUGCAACAGAAGCAGAUGUAUCAAAAUUGGGAGACGUGUUCUCAACUCUGACCAUAUCUACAGCUCCAGAUACGAACAGCAAGAACGUCUCUUCUCAGAUACAUUUGGAAACUCUAAGUGGAGGGAUAGUGGAAAACAGUAAAAGCCACCCCCCCCGACCCCCCAGUGUUAUCCUGGCUGUAAUAAGAGAAUGAAGGUGGGGAUGACAGAAGGGCCUGAUAAAGGAAAAUACCAAACAGGGAAGAGGCAAGGAAGAGAGCACAGCUGAACAGGAAGGUAGGGAAGGUACCGAGAUAAAUAAUUUUGGAGACCUUUUUAGUUCCUUUCGUGGAGAGCCAAUGAUGAUGUAUUGUGUGUGAAAUGACCGGAAAUAAGGAAGCUGUUCGCCCUCCAGAUGUGCUGCAAGGAUGGCUUUGUUUUGGAGACGGUAGAAAUAGAAAGGCGAGGGCAACAUGUUUUUCAAGGUCUUUCCUGGGGUUUUGUCUCUGAACAUUGAUGCUAAUAAUGAUUCUCAUUGAAACUGAACUGUGGGGCGAGGGACCUGGUAAUAGAAGUGCUUCGCCGAGUCCUGUGGUUAUUCUGUGAUUUCAGUGAAAGUCGUACAGGGAAAGGCAUAGUUAGAUGGGGAAAUGUGGUGGCAUCAGCUGUGCCAAGGGGAGAUGGGGGAACCACCUGCAAGGUGCUUUUUGCAGAGAAAGAGAAAUGAUGGGUGAUACAGGAAAGAGCUAAGGGUGUGUCACGGAGGUCUCCACGUCCAGAGUGUAACACGCAGUCAGUAGACUGUAGUAGCCAAGGAGAGCAAAAAUUAAGCGUAUCUGAGGUUUUUACACUUAGAGGAGGGGUAAUGCUAUGUAACCUUGAAUUUUUGUGAUGAGAAAUUCUCUCAGCUCUGCAAAUUGUCACAGACAGUGCCGUACAACAUGGAAGGCACUGCUAAGAAAGUCACGUGCUCAGAAUUAAAUAGAAUAAAAAUCUUCAGAAGUGAAUUGUGUCUAGAUGAAGGAGACAGUAUAUAAAUUUAGACGUGUAGGAGAAGGGACUGAGCAUGAUUAUAAAUAAUUAUGCUUGUAAGACAGACACAUACUGCCCAUUUUUUUGAGAUUACAGCUUAAUAGGACAAGAGUCACCCUUGGAUUUGUGCGUUGGCUCUGCCUCGUACUCCCUAGAUGUGACUGUUGUCACUGCAGUGGCUUGGGUCACUGCAUGGUGACCCAAGGGUUUGAUCCCUGGCCUGGGAACUUUCAUGUGCCACAGGUGCAGCCUCCCCGCCUCCGCCAAAAAAAUUGUAAUACCUAGCACAGAGCAAAUUCUCAAAAUGUUAGCCAAGGACUGUAGCAAAAUCUUUUUUCUUUUUUUUUGUGUCUUUUUUGGGCUGAACCUGUGGCCUAUGGAGGUGCCCAGAGUUAGUGUUUAGUGGCCCCCGGACUGGUUCUGGUGGUCCUCCUUCUUUUCAGUAUGAAGAAAGCUUCAUCGGCUAGUUAACAUGUUACAUUUGGGGUGGGGGAGGGUAGUUCUGCAGAAGAACUCAAAAAUGUUGUUAUGUGUCUUCCUUGAGGGGGAACCGGGACCCUUCCCCAAAGCUGUGCUAUUGUUCCUUGACUGUUCCUCUCUCUCUUCUCAGCAUCCUCUCCCUUCCCCAACAAGCCAUUGUUUGAACCUGCCCUUUGGAACUCAGGGAAGGUCACGGAGGGUGAAUGAGGCCUAUUUCCUAAAAACAAGAUAUGAGGGACACACAAAGGCUUUUCUUCUCAGGAGCCCCACAGGGUCCUGCUCUGUUUCAGUUCCCCUGGGAGAGGACAACUGGAAACUCCACGCUUGGCACUUUCCUGCACUCUGUCCCCUGUGUUUCGUCCCUGGGUGGAUUUUAAUCUCUCUCCCUUUACUGUAGUAAAUUGUAACUGUCCACAUGCACAUAACAGCUUUCAGUGAGUUCUUUGAGUCUUUCUAAUGGGUUGUCAAACCUGAGAAUGGUCUGAAGGACCCCGAAACUUGCAACUGGUGUCAAAUGUAAGCAUGGGGAGUUCUCAUUGUGGCUCAGCAGGUAAGGACCCCACCUUGUCUCUGUGAGGAUGCGAGUUUGAUCCCUGGCCUCGCUCCGUGAGUUAAGGAUCUGAUGUUGCUGCAGAUGAGGCUCAGAUCUGGUGUUGCCGUGGCUAUGGGUGUAGGCUGGCAACUUCAGCUCAGAUUUGACCCCUGGCC